GUGGAUUGUGAGAGCUCAUUAGGAUUGUUCUGGAUCAAUAAUUCUUGAUGAGUUAGAGUAGAAUUGUUUCGACCCAUUGAAAAGAGUUUCAAUGAUACUUUGAUAGAGAUCAUUAUAUAUCUUACUACCAAAUAGAAUUGAACCUAUGGAAUCACAUAAUAAAGGGAUUAGGUUUGGAAUAAGCAAUUGAGCUUAUGAAGUGUCAAU
rnacentral:lncRNA from 1 species